rnacentral:tRNA from 1 species
AGGAAUAUAGCUCAGUUGGUUAGAGCAUUCGGCUGAUAUCCGAAAGGUCAUAAGUUCGAUUCUUAUUAUUCCUACCA